rnacentral:misc_RNA from 1 species
AAGGCAAGCUACACCACAUUCAUGGUAGGGAUUGGAUGCAUUAACACAGUCUGGAUGUACUCUUCCAUCAUCAGCCAUCUUUUUGUCAACCCAGAAAGACAGAGAGAGAACUCCUCUGCUUCAAAGAUGGUGCUUUCUGCUCGUACGCAUUAUUUGACUAAUCUCACUCUCGUUUUUUCCAUUUAAAUCCAAUAAAAUCAUCAGGCUCGUAAACGUCACCUACUUUGAAAAAACAGAAAAAGGAGGAAGCUUUGGCUGGUUUGUCUCCAAAUUUGACUAAACGAGCAGAAAGACUAAAACGCACCACCGUACCCGUGGCCGG